UACGGAGGCAGCAGUGAGGAAUAUUGGUCAAUGGGCGCGAGCCUGAACCAGCCAAGUAGCGUGCAGGAAGACUGCCCUAUGGGUUGUAAACUGCUUUUAUGCGGGGAUAAAGUGCAGCACGUGUGCUGUUUUGUAGGUACCGCAUGAAUAAGGACCGGCUAAUUCCGUGCCAGCAGCCGCGGUAAU
rnacentral:rRNA from 1 species